rnacentral:rRNA from 1 species
GAUGAACGCUAGCUGGAGGCUUAAUACAUGCAAGUCGAGCGGGAUUGGUAGCAAUACCAUGAGAGCGGCGCACGGGUGAGUAACGCGUACACGACCUACCUCUGACAGGGGGAUAGCCCUGGGAAACUGGGAUUAAUACCGCAUAUUAUUCUGAUUAAUAAAGGAUUGGAAUGAAAGUUCAGGCGGUCAGAGAUGGGUGUGCGUCUGAUUAGCUAGUUGGUAGGGUAACGGCCUACCAAGGCGAUGAUCAGUAGGGGGCGUGAGAGCGUGGUCCCCCACACGGGUACUGAGACACGGACCCGACUCCUACGGGAGGCAGCAGUAAGGAAUAUUGGACAAUGGCCGAAAGGCUGAUCCAGCCAUCCAGCGUGCAGGAAGAAGGCCCUAUGGGUUGUAAACUGCUUUUAUCAGGGAAUAAACCUCUGGAUUCACUCCGGAGCUGAAGGUACCUGAAGAAUAAGCACCGGCUAACUCCGUGCCAGCAGCCGCGGUAAACUCGU